rnacentral:pre_miRNA from 1 species
GUGUGCUUGGUGGAAAAGCUGGGCACAUGAAGAACUAUCUAAUAUAUAUACUUCAUUAAUCUGUGAUGAAGAUGUUAAGUAGAUAGUAAUGCACGUGCCCUGCUUCUCCAUCCUGCACAA